ACCCCCCGCCCUGGGAGGGAAGCCUCGCUCCAGCCGCGUCGUUUCCGCGCCGAAGUGCGAUCCGGGGCCCCGCGCUGGAGUCCCCUGCUCUCAGGCUGGUCUGGAAGGUGGUGGUGGGGUUCAGGGUCCCCGGAAAGCUGGGGUUCCAGGGUGGCAGUUGCUGGAGUACCAGGGCACCAAGUGGAGGAUGUGGUAGACAGCCUCUAAGAUGCGCCCCCUGCCAAUGAUCUCUGCCUCCAGGGAGGAGCUAGAAGGCAGAGAGAAAGCCACUCAGGACUUCCCAUCCCAGAAGAUAAAGGUGAGGAAAGCAGCAGCAGCAGCCACAGGCCAGUAUUCCAGAGCAGCUUUGGGUUCCUGUCAAGACCUGCUUUGAGAAGGAGGUGGCUGUGGGGCUGGAGGGCUGGGCCUGUUCCUGAGCUGGCUGCUGGCAGCACAGCAAUGAGGCAACAUUGAGAACUGCGACACGAGGCCCAGUCCUGCUACUAAACCAACUGUGUGGACUUGCAUAGUCACUUCACCCCUCGGGCCUCCAUUUCUCCACUUUGGAAAGCAGUGUUGGGACGAUGUUAAGGGUUUGCAACCUUCCAACAUGAAGACU
rnacentral:lncRNA from 10 species